UACGGGGGGGGGCAAGCGUUGUUCGGAAUUACUGGGCGUAAAGGGCGCGUAGGCGGCCUGCUAAGUCGGAUGUGAAAUCCCUCGGCUCAACCGAGGAACUGCAUCCGAUACUGGCGGGCUUGAAUCCGGGAGAGGGAUGUGGAAUUCCAGGUGUAGCGGUGAAAUGCGUAGAUAUCUGGAGGAACACCGGUGGCGAAGGCGGGUCUCUGGGCCGAUACUGACGCUGAGGAGCGAAAGCGUGGGGAGCGAACAGG
rnacentral:rRNA from 1 species